AAUCACUUGUAUUGAUAUCAUUAAUACAAUUGCUGAGGGGGUUAGUAGACUUAAGUCAGUAAUGUGUAUUUCCAUUGCAUUGGUUAAUGUGCUGUCUGUUCAAAGUAAGAUUUAAUAUCUAUUGGUUGUGUUUCUGUCAGAAGUACAGUGCAUUACCAGGCGAAUACACCGAUGGCGACAAGAUCAAGCGACAGAGAAUCGCUGGACUGUGCAGCAAGAGUGAUAGAAGUAUGUCCGUUAAAAGCAGAAUGCAAGCAGUCCAACAUUCCAAUUGGCUGUGGCGACUGUUGCAAUACCACAUCAUAGCUAAUUUCAAUAAUAAGUAAAACUACAAACUGUCGCUCAAGUCGCGCGAAUUGCCUCUAGUUUCCCGAAUCACUUUUGUUGCGCGACUCAAUGCAAAGUCAAUUACUUCCGUCGCUGGAAUCGCUGAUGUAGUGCUUGGUCUAUUUGUAACGGAUAUGUUGUGGUAGGCUAUUCACCUUCUAUUCUUGCUAUGGUUCAUUCUUCUGUUUCAGCAGCAAAAUGUAACAAGCUUGUCCUGGAGGACUGCUCUUAUGGGGAAUGCUGUGGAGGAGAGACAGGCAGACUGUGGUCCAUCGUGUGUGCUCCCAGUGCGUUAAUACACGGACAGUCCUUUUUAAGUGCAACCAGAGGAAUAAUGUGAUUGAGAGGAAGAGUGGCCCCAUACAUUGCUUGACCUGGAGCCUACCAAAGUCUAAGGUCUCAGGUGUCUCCAGAAGAACACAUCCCAAUGAAGACCCCAGUCAUAGUCAUCAACUUGACAGCUCAGCCUGUUACUUGAACUGUGUUCUUAGAGACAAGUGUAACUGAGGUGUUUCCACACAGUCUGUCCCCCUUAGAUCUUGAACUUGCCACCUCCUAGUCAACGCAUCGGUUCGGGUAUGGGAGGCACAGCACGAUACCGCUGAGCUAAAUGACCAGUCCCAUAGCUCUGCGCUGCUGGUACUGUAUGAGGCUUCGGGAGGGAGGUUUACUAUCCUUCCACGCCACACUCUGCUAGUUGGCCUCCGUUACACAAGCUCGAAUAAUCCAAGCAGCCAAUCCAACUUCUUCAGCACUGCCUUUGAACACUAUGAACAACCACUCAGAACCACUGGUCCUAGAACUAAUGACCACAUUAUACUGUUAAAGGUCCACUGUGUAGGAUGGUGAUCAGAGCAGGUAUUGCACCUAUGCUGCUCAUUGCAACUGUGCUACCUAUUGUCCAUUUUGACUUUUGAAUUUUCAAGAAUUUUACCAAGUAUUUACUAGUAUGUACCAAUAUUUACUAGUAUGACCAAAAUACAGUACAUUAUGCAACUAAAUUCAAGAUGGUGGACAAUGGACUCCUUUCAUGUUUUCAUGAAAAGUGUAAUUUUCCCAGUCAUAAUGAAUACUCAGAAUUUGAUGGUGGUAAGUAUUCUGAAAAAAGGUUACAUUUGUGAAUGGCCGGAAUGAAUUCUGGAAAGAAACUGCUUAAAAAUAUUACACAGCGUACCUUUUAACAUUUCAUCUGUAGUAACAGAAUGUAGCGUUUCUCAGCUGCAACUCAAACCUAGACCCUCUUUCGUGGUGGUUGUUGUAAUGACACACUAAAAGCGAUAAUAUCUGCAUGAAGAUGCUCAGAAAGUGUCACUGGAUAUAUACCUUGAUAAAAGCAACAGAAUCUUCAAAGAAGAACAGAUACAAAAUGGGAUGCAUGUAUCAUGACAUUCCAACUGGUUGCAGUGAUAUUCACGGAAAUGUCUAAUGCCUUUUCACCAUUAACUUAAACUUCUUUUCAGGUCUGUUCUUGUCUCUUUGUUAUGAUUGAAUUAGGAGUUUUAAUUUACACAAAAGCUGACACAUUUCCCACCUUUCUGUUAAGACUUGGUCCUAAGUGUUCUGAUUUGUUUGCCUUUUUAUACCUUGUGAAUAUUGAUGAUUUUUGAAUGAUUUUUAAUAAACUGUUUUGAUCAUUA